rnacentral:rRNA from 1 species
GAUGAACGCUCGCUACAGGCUUAACACAUGCAAGUCGCAGGGUAACAUGAGGAAAGCUUGCUUUCCUUGAUGACGACUGGCGCACGGGUGAGUAACGCGUAUCCAACCUUCCCAUAACUACGGGAUAACCCGUUGAAAGACGGCCUAAUACCGUAUGAUAUCGUUUGCUGACAUCAAAUAACGAUUAAAGGUUUAGCGGUUAUGGAUGGGGAUGCGUCUGAUUAGCUUGUUGGCGGGGUAACGGCCCACCAAGGCGACGAUCAGUAGGGGUUCUGAGAGGAAGGUCCCCCACAUUGGAACUGAGACACGGUCCAAACUCCUACGGGAGGCAGCAGUGAGGAAUAUUGGUCAAUGGGCGAGAGCCUGAACCAGCCAAGUAGCGUGCAGGACGACGGCCCUAUGGGUUGUAAACUGCUUUUAUGGGGGGAUAAAGUGCGUGACGUGUCAUGCAUUGCAGGUACCACAUGAAUAAGGACCGGCUAAUUCCGUG